GCUGCCGUAGCUCAGUGGUAGAGCACUCCCUUGGUAAGGGAUCGCCUUUUUCAUCUAAGCACCUGUCUUUGUUAGGAUUUCUGUGGCGGCG
rnacentral:tRNA from 1 species